CUCGAGUGGCGAACGGGUGAGUAACACGUGGGUGAUCUGCCCUGCACUUCGGGAUAAGCCUGGGAAACUGGGUCUAAUACCGGAUAGGACUACGAAUCGCAUGGUUUGUGGUGGAAAGCUUUUGCGGUGUGGGAUGGGCCCGCGGCCUAUCAGCUUGUUGGUGGGGUGAUGGCCUACCAAGGCGACGACGGGUAGCCGGCCUGAGAGGGUGACCGGCCACACUGGGACUGAGAUACGGCCCAGACUCCUACGGGAGGCAGCAGUGGGGAAUAUUGCACAAUGGGCGCAAGCCUGAUGCAGCGACGCCGCGUGAGGGAUGACGGCCUUCGGGUUGUAAACCUCUUUCAGCAGGGACGAAGCGCAAGUGACGGUACCUGUAGAAGAAGGACCGGCCAACUACGUGCCAGCAGCCGCGGUAAUACGUAGGGUCCGAGCGUUGUCCGGAAUUACUGGGCGUAAAGAGCUCGUAGGUGGUUUGUCGCGUUGUUCGUGAAAACUCACAGCUCAACUGUGGGCGUGCGGGCGAUACGGGCAGACUUGAGUACUGCAGGGGAGACUGGAAUUCCUGGUGUAGCGGUGGAAUGCGCAGAUAUCAGGAGGAACACCGGUGGCGAAGGCGGGUCUCUGGGCAGUAACUGACGCUGAGGAGCGAAAGCGUGGGGAGCGAACAGGAUUAGAUACCCUGGUAGUCCA
rnacentral:rRNA from 1 species